rnacentral:lncRNA from 1 species
UAAGGUUUAAAAUAUUUACACAAACCCUCAGGGUUGGCCUGGUGGCAAUUGACUUGAGCCUUGGGGUAUGCUCCCUUUCAAGGUCUCAAGUUCGAAACCUACCGGGUACAAACAAUUUCUGAGGGCCAUCGGACUGGGGAAAACCUGAAUUAAAGAAGAUUAAACUUCAAAGUGGAGUAGGGGCAUCAAGAGAGCACAUAUUGCCUUAACCCUCCGGGGUUGGCCUGGUGGCAAUUGACUUGAGCCUUGGGGUUUGCUCCCUUUCAAGUUCUCAAGUUCGAAACCCACUGGGUGCAAACAAUUUCUGAGGGCCAUCGGACUGGAUAAAAUCUGAAUUAACCGUGGUGCACUUGCAGGAAAUUCCUUGCCGAGGGCAUGUGCACCCCCGGAAUUAGUCGGGUCUCACAGAGACUCGGACACCCGGUGCAAAUAAAAAAAAAGG